GACGUAGGGGGCGAGCGUUGUCCGGAUUCAUUGGGCGUAAAGAGCGCGUAGGCGGCCCGGAAAGUGGGGUGUGAAAACCCGAGGCUCAACCUCGGGCGUGCACUCCAAACUCCCGGGCUCGGGGCAGGUAGGGGAGAUCGGAAUUCCUGGUGUAGCGGUGAAAUGCGCAGAUAUCAGGACGAACACCAGUGGCGAAGGCGACUACCUGGGCUGUUUCUUGACGCUGAGGCGCGAAAGCUAGGGGAGCAAACGGG
rnacentral:rRNA from 1 species